rnacentral:lncRNA from 1 species
GUCAGAUCUCAACCCACUAAGUGCAACAACACCUUCCGAUGAGGAAGGAUUAAUACUAUUAUUAGCUUCAAGCCGGCCCAAGAAACGGGCCGGAAGGAAGAAGUUCAAGGAAACUCGCCACCCAGUUUAUAGGGGAGUGAGGAGGAGGAAUAACAACAAGUGGGUUUGCGAGCUACGUGAGCCUAGUCAACAAAAAAGAAUAUGGCUAGGGACUUACCCUACUCCUGAAAUGGCGGCUCGAGCUCACGAUGUUGCUGCAUUAGCACUUAGAGGUAAUCUAGCCACUCUGAACUUUGCUGACUCUCGUUGGCGGUUACCAGUGCCAGCAUCAAAGGACCCCAAGGACAUACGCCAAGCAGCCGUUAUAGCCGCACAAGCUUUUUCUCAGGAUACUGAAGUCGAUUAUAUGAAUGAGGAAGUUAAUUCCAAUACUACUGAUGAGAUUGAUAUUGCGAGGGUUAAUAAUGGGAGUAGUAGUGAUUUUAGCGCGAAGGAAUUGAGUAUGGAUAUGGAGAACAUUUUAUCUUGUAACGGGGGAGAAGAUAACUACAUGUUAGAGACGGAAGGAUGGCGAGAAAAGAUGGCCGAGGAGCUUUUGUUUUCACCAACUCCACGUUUAGGUAGUUGUUUCAGUUGGGAUGACGUGGAAACUAGCGACGUCGAGGUGUCUUUGUGGAGUUACAGUAUUUGAUACCAACUAGCCAGUUAAUUACAAUCUAGGAAUAGCAUUUUACAAAAAAGGAAAAAAAGAAAAGAAAAGGGAAUUAAUAGUCAACUAGAAUGAUGUUAUUAUGUACUCCCUCCGUCCCUAUUUACUUGUCCAUAUUUCCUUUUUUGGUUGUCCCUAUUUAGUUGUCCAUUUUGACAAAUCAAGAAAGGACAACAUAUUUUUUCCUAUUAUACCCUUAUUUACACUUCUUGAAAAUUGUAAAAGUGUAUGUUGUUUCCCUCUAAUUUAUUUCACUUGAAUUCAAAUAAGUGGUUUGUAAUUUUUGAAGUGAAAAGUUGUCAUAAGAGUAAAAAUUGUAACUUCACUGUGCUAAUCAUUGUUGCCUUAAUCUGUGUGUCAUUUCUAAAGUGGACAACUAAAAAGGGACGGAGGGAGUACAUUGCAAAUAUAUAUAUAUAUAUAUUCAUGUUACUAUUUCCAUAUAGCUGAGAACCAAAAAGUUAAAUACAGAUAUAUGUUUGUAUACAAAGUAGAAGGUGAAAUAAGCAAUACGAUCAAUAAAAGUAUCUAAAAACAAAAUUUCCCUUACAAUAGGUAAUACCUAACAAAAACCAUUUUGUUCUAAUUAUUCACCAUAUAAUUAUAUUUGUAACAUUAAAACUCGUGGUAGAGAUGACUCAACUAUUAUAAGCUCAUAAAAAAGUGUGCUUAUAAUAUAUAGAUUCAUGACAUUAUAAGCUCAUCUUCUUGUUUUUCUUGUUUCUUACGUUUCAAGAAAAGUGUCAUUACAAGAAAACAAGCUACUUCCUCCGUCCACUAUUGUUUGUCAAGUAUACUAAAAAUAGAUGUCCAAAAUUAAUUGUCAAUUUAAACCAUCAAGAACAAUUAGUCACUUUUUUCCAAUUAUGUCCUUAAUAAUUACAUAACUACUAGUUUCAAAAAGUUACAAGACUACUUUAAUGUGAAAAAAGUUGUUUUUACAGUUUUCAAAAAGUACAAACCAUUUUAAUAAUGAUUGAUAGUAGAAUUAUAUUAGUCAAAUUGCACCUUAUAUUAAAUUUUUCUUAAAGAUUGUGCAUGUUCUUACCCUGACAACAAUAGUGGACGGAGGGAGUAUAACAUUCGUCGGUAAUUUCGAGUUAAUCAAUACUCCCUUUGUCCCUAAUUACUUGUCCACUUUUGAAUUGAUACACCUAUUAAGAAAACAAUGAUUGACAUAGUGAGUUUACCAUUUUAUCUCUAUUAAUUAUGAAGUGGAUGAAUUAAAAAUUCAAGAUUUUCAAAAGUUCAACCUUUUUCAAAACUAAUUAUUUGAGAGUAUAAUAGGUAAAAAAAAAUUGUCUUUUCUUGAUUUGUCAAAAUGGACAAGUAAAAAGGAACGAGUAAAAAAUGAAAAUUGGACAAAUAAUUUGGGACAGUGAAAGUAAUAAUUAGCCAUAUUGUAAAUAAAUAUUUACUUUCAUCCGGUGUUUAUACGAAACUAAUCAUAAUAACUAAACCAUCGCGUAGGUUUACUACAUUCAUAAUUAACAAAAUCAAAUUAAGCAAAUUUACACAUCCCAUAUCAUAAAAAUUGCUCUUCAAAUUUAAUUUUUAUCUUUUAACAAUUAACUUAACUUGAAAUUACAUUGGUACAUAACUUAUGAAAUAUUAUAAUACGAAAUUAUAAACUUAUACUAUAUAGUUAAAAGUUACCCCAUUUGUCCAACAAUAGUUAUCUAAUAUUGAUUUGACACACCUUAAGAAAUAAUAGAUAAUAGGGAUAAUACUACUAUAUUAAUCUUUGAAUAUAUUGAAUUUAAUGAUUUGGGAAAUGUAUUAGAUUUUGAUUAAUAUUAAAUAGCAAGGCUAAAAUAGGAUAAAUUAUCUCUUCAUUAUUUAAACUGAACAAGUAUUGUUGAUAACUAUUUUUAAUAUAGUAAACAAAUAAAAAUAAACGGAGAAAGUAUUUAUCACUGAGGGACAAAAGUGCCCACGGAGUGACAUAAGAAUUGUGUGGUUCCCGUGUGCUCUUUCUCCUGGGAACUCAACAGUGUUUCUGUCCCAUUGACCCAAAAUUGGAAAGGGAAGUGCCACCCACGCCCACUCCCACCCCCCAUACCCCACAAUUUUUAUGGAAAAAUGAAAGUACCCCCACUUUUAAUUUGGGAAGUGCUAAUGGCCAAAAAAUUUGGUCAAAAUUUAGCCAGAGAAUUAAAACAAAUAUAAUAUUUUUUUAUUUUAAAACAAACUAAUUCUUUUUUCAUUUUUUAGUUAAAAUAUAUUAAAAUUAAAAGGAUAAAAAUGUUUAAAAAGAUAAAAUAUCAUUCUGACCAAAUUCUGGCCAAAAUUUUUUUUCCUUUUAAUUUAUAAGCAUGUAAUACUCCAUCCGAUCCGAUUCACUUUAUUUGUUUUACUUUUCUAUUUAGUUCGUCUCAAAAAAACAGUCUCUUCCCAUGUUAGUAACUAUUUGAUUCUAACUUUUCAUGUAACAUGCUUAAAACAACAAAAAUAAAAAUAUUUUACAUUCUAUAUGCUUUUAAUUUAUGAUAGUAAAAUUUUAAAAAAAAAUUACUUUCUUAUAUUCGAUAAUAGGUAAAUUCUCUUAUAUACAAAAGAGAAUAUGAGCAUCUUGGAGUAUUUAGUUAUAGGCUUAUAGCAGAGGACCCCACAAAGAAGAAGAUAGAAGAAGAGUUGUUUCUUUCCGCGUCUAUAUCGUAGGUACGUGCUUUCACUUUCUUUCUUAAUUCAUAAUCCAAAAGUAUAUCCAAAAUCUAUAUAAACCACCGUCAAACUUUCACAAAAUUCUAAACAAACAACUUGUACUCAUAUCACAACACACUUCAAAAUCUAAGAAAAUCAGUAGCUUGUUAUAGACUGACACGUGUCUAAAAUGAAUAACGACUCGAGUUUGUACUCGUCAGAUCUCAACCCAUUAAGUGCAACAAUAGCUUCCGAUGAGGAAGGAAUACUAUUACUAGCUUCAAGCCGACCCAAGAAACGUGCAGGGAGGAAGAAGUUCAAGGAAACUCGCCACCCGAUUUAUAGGGGAGUGAGGAGGAGGAAUAAUAGCAAGUGGGUUUGCGAGCUACGUGAGCCUAGUCAACAGAAAAGAAUAUGGCUAGGGACUUACUCUACUCCUGAAAUGGCGGCUCGAGCUCAUGAUGUUGCUGCAUUAGCUCUUAGAGGUAAUCUAGCCACUCUGAACUUUGCUGACUCUCGUUGGCGAUUGCCAGUGCCCGCAUCAAAGGACCCCAAGGAC